rnacentral:rRNA from 1 species
AACGAACGCUGGCGGCGUGCCUAACACAUGCAAGUCGAACGAGAAAGGGGCUUCGGCUCCGAGUAAAGUGGCGCACGGGUGAGUAACACGUAGGUAACCUGCCUCUAAGAUUGGGAUAACCUGUCGAAAGACGAGCUAAUACCGAAUAAGACCACGGCUUCCUCGGAAGCAGGGGUCAAAGGUAGCCUCUACUUGUAAGCUAUCACUUAGAGAUGGGCCUGCGUACCAUUAGCUAGUGGUGGGGUAACGGCCUACCAAGGCAAAGAUGGUUAGCUGGUCUGAGAGGAUGAUCAGCCACACUGGAACUGAGACACGGUCCAGACUCCUACGGGAGGCAGCAGUGGGGAAUAUUGCGCAAUGGGCGAAAGCCUGACGCAGCAACGCCGCGUGAGUGAUGAAGGCCUUGGUCG